GACAGAGGGUGCAAACGUUGUUCGGAAUUACUGGGCGUAAAGCGCGUGUAGGCGGCUAUGCAAGUCGGAUGUGAAAGCCCUCGGCUCAACCGGGGAAGUGCACCCGAAACUGCAAAGCUAGAGUCUCGGAGAGGAUCGUGGAAUUCUCGGUGUAGAGGUGAAAUUCGUAGAUAUCGAGAGGAACACCGGUGGCGAAGGCGGCGAUCUGGACAGAAACUGACGCUGAGGCGCGAAAGCUAGGGGAGCAAACAGG
rnacentral:rRNA from 1 species